UUGACAUCCACGGAAGUUUUCAGAGAUGAGAAUGUGCCUUCGGGAACCGUGAGACAGGUGCUGCAUGGCUGUCGUCAGCUCGUGUUGUGAAAUGUUGGGUUAAGUCCCGCAACGAGCGCAACCCUUAUCCUUUGUUGCCAGCGGUCCGGCCGGGAACUCAAAGGAGACUGCCAGUGAUAAACUGGAGGAAGGUGGGGAUGACGUCAAGUCAUCAUGGCCCUUACGACCAGGGCUACACACGUGCUACAAUGGCGCAUACAAAGAGAAGCGACCUCGCGAGAGCAAGCGGACCUCAUAAAGUGCGUCGUAGUCCGGAUUGGAGUCUGCAACUCGACUCCAUGAAGUCGGAAUCGCUAGUAAUCGUGGAUCAGAAUGCCACGGUGAAUACGUUCCCGGGCCUUGUACACACCGCCCGUCACACCAUGGGAGUGGGUUGCAAAAGAAGUAGGUAGCUUAACCUUCGGGAGGGCGCUUACCACUUUGUGAUUCAUGACUGGGGUGAAGUCGUAACAAGGUAACCGUAGGGGAACC
rnacentral:rRNA from 1 species